CCGUGUGCAGGACGAAGGCCUUGGGUUAAUAAACUGCUUUUGUACAGAACGAAAAGUCUGGGUUAAUACCCUGGGGUCAUGACGGUACUGUAAGAAUAAGCACCGGCUAACUACGUGCCAGCAGCCGCGGUAAUACGUAGGGUGCGAGCGUUAAUCGGAAUUACUGGGCGUAAAGCGUGCGCAGGCGGUUAUGUAAGACAGAGGUGAAAUCCCCGGGCUCAACCUGGUGAACUGCCUUUGUGACUGCAUAGCUAGAGUACGGCAGAGGGGGAUGCGAAUUCCGCGUGUAGCAGUGAAAUGCGUCAGAUAUGCGGCGGAACACCGAUGGCGAAGGCAAUCCCCUGGGCCUGUACUUGACGCUCAUGCACGAAAGCGUGGGGAGCAAACAGGAUUCGAUACCCUGGUAGUCCACGCCCUAAACGAC
rnacentral:rRNA from 1 species